rnacentral:rRNA from 1 species
UAGGGAAUCCUCGGCAAUGGGGGGAACCCUGACCGAGCAACGCCGCGUGAGUGAAGAAGGUUUUCGGAUCGUAAAGCUCUGUUGUUAAGGAAGAACGAGUGUGAGAAUGGAAAGUUCAUACUGUGACGGUACUUAACCAGAAAGGGACGGCUAACUACGUGCCAGCAGCCGCGGUAAUACGUAGGUCCCGAGCGUUGUCCGGAUUUAUUGGGCGUAAAGCGAGCGCAGGCGGUUAGAUAAGUCUGAAGUGAAAGGCAGUGGCUCAACCAUUGUAGGCUUUGGAAACUGUUUAACUUGAGUGCAGAAGGGGAGAGUGGAAUUCCAUGUGUAGCGGUGAAAUGCGUAGAUAUAUGGAGGAACACCGGUGGCGAAAGCGGCUCUCUGGUCUGUAACUGACGCUGAGGCUCGAAAGCGUGGGGAGCGAACAGG